CAGAGAUGUUUCCCCGUGCUCAAUUUUGCUAGCUAGCUCUGUGCAGGGCAGGAGUGACAGGCAUAUUGAGAAUGUAGGUUCUACCUUGGGCAUCAUCUCUACUGCAUUGAAGAGGGCUGCAUUUGGAGUUGGAAAACUUGGAUUCCGAUCACUGGAGCUGCUGCUGGAUGUUGGAAUCUUGCCUAAGAAUCUUUUCAGCUCCCAAGAGCUGAAUGAAGAGAGAAAGAAAGAAAGAGAAAGAAAGAAAAAGAAAAUGAAGGAAGGAAAAAAAGAAUUGCCAUCUCUUUUGCAGAGAAUAUCUACUAGAUUGAAAUUCUUUCUGUUGGCAGAAAAUAUAUCCAAGAAGAUUCAGAGAAGGUUCCGGCGUGUAUGGAAUGGAGAGACUCAGCCCUGGAAAUUUUGAAUAAUUACACACUGCUGCCCCAGGAAGAAUCUUGGUGGAUUGAGAGACAAUGGACAAAGACAUCAAGAUACUCUUCUGACUGGAGCUAGGGGAAAUACUCCUUCAGGAGAAGUCUUCAGACAAAGUUUGGGUGACUGCUUGAUGGGGAUGGAGUUGAGAGAAUUAUUCAGAUACAGAUUGGACUAGAUGUCUUCCGAGGUCUGUACUAGUUCCUGAGAUUCUAGCACCAAAAGCAUCGGUACCUUUGGGAGGUAAGAUGUUAUAGUGGAAAGUGUUUUGGGAUUUGGAGUCUUGGGUUUAAAUUUUAGCUCUGAUUCUUAUGAACCCUAUGCUGAGUCAUUUAACCUCAGAACCCUAGUUUCUUUCUAGUAUCCAUCCUAGAGCUCACAAGACUCAGAUGAAAUGGGAAACACCAAUUCUAUUCCUUCAUUUGACAUAGAGGCCCACCAUACCUUCCCACUUCCCCUGCCACUGCUUCCUAAGGUUUUCUAUGCCUUACUAUCUAUCCUACCUCCACUUACUACAGACACCUAGUAUUGUCAUAUGACCUACCGAUUUAACCUAAGGACUCCUGGGCUUUUCCAUGUACUCUACAGAUGAACUUUGUUUUAUAUGUUAUCUCCCCUAGAAUAGGAAUUUCCUAAGACCAGGGACUGUCUGAUUUUAUUCUUAUAUUCUUGGUACUUAGCUAAGUGUUUGGAACAUAUUAAGUAAGCUCUUAACAAAGGCAUUUUCUACCUAUCAGAUUUAUGGAGAAGAGAAGAAUUUAUGGCCAAACAAGAGUAGAGAACAUUAUGAA